AGGACGAACGCUGGCGGCGUGCUUAACACAUGCAAGUCGAGCGGAAAGGCCCUUCGGGGUACUCGAGCGGCGAACGGGUGAGUAACACGUGAGCAACCUGCCCUUAGCUUCGGGAUAGCUCCGGGAAACCGGAAUUAAUACCGAAUAUGAUUUUUGCUGACAUCAGCAGAAGUGGAAAGUUUUUCGGCUAGGGAUGAGCUCGCGGCCUAUCAGCUUGUUGGUGGGGUAAUGGCCUACCAAGGCGACGACGGGUA
rnacentral:rRNA from 1 species